rnacentral:rRNA from 1 species
AUACGGAGGAUCCGAGCGUUAUCCGGAUUUAUUGGGUUUAAAGGGUGCGCAGGCGGCCAUUUAAGUCAGCGGUUAAAUCGUGGGGCUCAACCCCAUUCUGCCGUUGAUACUGGGUGGCUUGAUUGCGGUCGAGGUUGGCGGAAUUCGUUGUGUAGCGGUGAAAUGCAUAGAUAUGACGAAGAACACCGAUUGCGUAGGCAGCUGACCAGAUCGCAAAUGACGCUCAUGCACGAAAGUGCGGGGAUCGAACAGGAUUAGAUUCCCUGGUAGUCCGCACAGUAAACGAUGAAUACUUGUUUUCGGCGAUAUAAUGUCGGAGGCAAAGCGAAAGCGAUAAGUAUUCCACCUGGGGAGUACGCCGGCAACGGUGAAACUCAAAUGAAUUGACGGGU